GAUGAACGCUGGCGGCGUGCCUAAUACAUGCAAGUCGAGCGAACGGACGAGAAGCUUGCUUCUCUGAUGUUAGCGGCGGACGGGUGAGUAACACGUGGAUAACCUACCUAUAGGACUGGGAUAACUUCGGGAAACCGGAGCUAAUACCGGCUAAUAUUUUGAACCGCAUGGUUCAAAAGUGAAAGACGGUCUUGCUGUCACUUAUAGAUGGAUCCGCGCUGCAUUAGCUAGUUGGUAAGGUAACGGCUUACCAAGGCAACGAUGCAUAGCCGACCUGAGAGGGUGAUCGGCCACACUGGAACUGAGACACGGUCCAGACUCCUACGGGAGGCAGCAGUAGGGAAUCUUGCGCAAUGGGCGAAAGCCUGACGGAGCAACGCCGCGUGAGUGAUGAAGGUCUUCGGAUCGUAAAACUCUGUUAUUAGGGAAGAACAUAUGUGUAAGUAACUGUGCACAUCUUGACGGUACCGAAUCAGAAAGCCACGGCUAACUACGUG
rnacentral:rRNA from 1 species